UCUGUCCCUAGAGGGCUUGCAGGUGCAGCAGCUGUGUCACAUGUGGGUCAGUGGGUGGCAGAGAGGAGAGAAGCUAUGUCUAUGCUCAGUGUUCUGACCUGUGAGCAUCUGAGUGAUAAGUAGCCUGAAAAA